UGCUAGAGAGAAGCCAUUGUAACAGUGCACAUUUUGCACUCACUGCAUGGCUGCUUCUAGUUGAUUAUUCCCAACACUCACUUGAGGAGAUAUGUGGUCUAGAUGAUGUCACAUCAUAUUUGCAAAAUGGAUGCUUUCAAUAGUGGCUUCUAUCUAUAUUUAUUCUUAAAUCAAGUGAUCAUGCAUAUGCUU